GGAGGGGUGGCAGAGUGGUUGAAUGCACUGGUCUUGAAAACCAGCGUGCCGCAAGGUACCGGGGGUUCGAAUCCCUCCCCCUCCG
rnacentral:tRNA from 3 species